AAAAGGUCACAAUGAGUAAUUUGGAAUAGAUGAAGUAUAAAAACUAAUAUAUUAAGGUUAUCUAUAAAUUUAUUAAUAUUGGUAAUUUGGAACGGGUGAAGUUGCUAUAUACUUCGUAUUAGUUUGAUACUAUAUAAAGAGGUUUUAAAUCAUUAUAAACCCCGACCAGCCUCAUUAAGAAUCCAUAAUUGAGUGAUCAUAUAAAGACCCGACCCAAUUAUUUAUUGGACAGAUUUGACCCAUAUAUAACUGUGGUAGGUUAAGGCUUUUAUUAAUUGCUCUGAAAAUAAGGGAAAAAGAAAACAUAUGAACAUAGCCCUGCCUAGUGCCUCCUCCUCUCUCUGAGUUCUCCAUUGAAGCGCACUCAGCCUCGAAAGAAUAUGAAGCUAAAGAAAAUUCCUGGGUAUAUUCUGUUUUGCCAAUUAUGAACACACAUAUUUUCUAUGUAAGAUAGACCUUUUUUUUUAUUAUGUACAUGAUUUUGUGUGGUAUUAUUGGUAGAAUUAACAGAAAGCUUGAAGCGACUGAUGAUUAUGAUGAUGAUGUCAUGGCUUUGGAGGGUGCUACUCGUAAGUCGUAACAGUAGGCGUGCCUUUACUCCUAGUAAACUCUCCCUGAUUGUUCCUGUCAAUGGAAACAGGGCUCAAGUUACAUCGUUAACUUUUUGACAACUUAAAUAGCAUGAUUUGGCAGUUCUGGUGGCCAUUGGGUUCUGAUCAUUCCCUGUCAGAUGUUUGAGAAUAGUGGAACUUGGCCGAUUGUUCUGUGUACCCCCCAGGUUUAGAAAAAUGCACCACAUGUAUCCCUGAGAUUUGUAAAAAAAAAAAUAUGCACCGAAUACCCCUAGACUCAUAACAAAUGUUAAUUUUGUUAGAUUGAGAUCCCCUAAGCAUCAAAUUCUAUUAAAUUAUUAUAUUGUAAUGCUAAAACAUUUAAAUUAUCAAGUAAACUUAAGUAAAAGCGAGUCGGUGUGUGGGCAUGAUUUUAGUUUGAUAAGUCAAUGAUAUGUGCAUUUGAUAGAUGAUGAGGAUAUUUAGUGCUUAUUUUUUACAAAUGGUGCAUUUGAAAGUUUUCAGGGGUAUACGGGGCAAUUUCCCUAAAUUUUUUUUUUUGUGUCUUGAUGUUAAUUGAAGUUAUUAAGCGACUGCUCGUGGAAAUUUUGAUUAGUUGAGAAGAGGUCCUGAUUGUUGAUCAUGAUUUUUUAUUGCCACCUUCCAGCUAUAGCCUGUAGGAUGAGGGAUGUAUCCUUGCCUAUAUUGAGUGAUGCAGAGACCAGGAGAUUAUGGGAAUGGUCAAACUACAAGUCUGUAAUUAUGAUUUUUUGAGUAAAAUUCUUUUAUAUGCUGAACUUGAGGUGGUGGGAGUCUUGGGACUAUGUGACUUAUUUCUGGACAGGAGUAUGUAGUCAACUUGUACUAAUUAAUAAGCUCAUUGGCUCAAUACUAUUUACUGUCAUACUUGAUACCUUUGCUUUUGAUCACGAGGAAACAGGUACAUCGUUAACUUUUUCAAUAAUCCCUGUGUCAAUAUGUCGAUUGCAAUGUGUUGAAAUUUAUAGCAGCAUUCAUGGUUAGUUAUCAGUAUAAUCUGACUGCUUUUGACUGUUGAUGAAAAACAUUCACUAUUAAGUGUUAUUUUCUUGCAACUUUUGAAAGGGUGUAUCUGGUGACGAUAACUUGCCUGAAAGAGAUGAUCUAGGAGAAAGGAGAUGGAACCACCAACUUCGGGUUCUGGCUAGAGCCGGAAUCAAGUCAAAAGAUAGUGAUGUUGUUGCACUUGAUAAUGAGUCAGAGUUUGGGUGGCAUAACUGGCAAUGGAGAUGAUGCUGGAGAUAGUGAUGAAUCAGAAGACUUCUACAAUUUAGUUAAAAAACAAAAAGAAGCCAAGUGUAAAUUGAAGGCAGAGAAGUAUUCCAGAAUCCCACAAAUCAAUAUGAACUAGAGAUCACUGCUGAUGGAAAACGUCACAUUUCCGCGCAGAUGGAGAUAAAUAGAGGGCUUACUUGUGAUCGAAAGCAGAUAAAAAAUCCACGGAAUAAUUACAAGCGGCAGCAUGAAAAAGCGGUUAAUAGCCGCAAGGGGCAGGUGCAUGAAGUUAAGCGAUCGAAGCUUAGUUAUGAAGGGGAACUUACUGGCAUCAAUCCUAGCAUCAGUCGAUGCAGGAGGCUGGGAUGAAGUUCUGUUAUUCGUCUGGGUGAUGGUUAAGUCUAAUGUGUUUGGAAUUGGGUAGGGUGGAAGAGUCUUACUACCAGAGUUAGAGAGUAGAGUUUUUUUUUUUUCAAAGAAAAUUUUGAAUUAUUUGUGUUGCAGCUUCUGUCUGAUUGAAACAAAUCAUUUACUGUAUGAAACAAUCCAUUUUUGUUCACUUUGAAGAUGUCAUAUAUAAUUUCAAAAAUGUAUCAAAAUCUCUGCUAUUGAGGGGCCUAGGUGGAGGGUCGGCAAUGGUUCAAAUAUUAAGGUUGGGAACGAUAAGUGGCUGCCAGGAAAUGCAAUCCCAUUGCCUCAUUUUAAUGCCGUUUAUAACCCAAAUCUUACUGUUGCAGAGCUAAUUGAGCAGAACAGUGGGGUGUGGAAUGUGAGUGUUAUCAGAGAAUGCUUUCAACCUGCUAUAUGCCAGACUAUCUUACAACUGCCGUUGUCUUUGAGCUUACCUUCUGAUGAGAUGUUUUGGUGGCCAACAAAGAAUGGGAUAUAUACUGUAAACUUGUAAAGCCAGGUUAUUGGCUAGGAGUGUUGGGGCAACACCAGGUAGAAAGCGUUGAGAAUGCUGAUCUUUGGAUUGGGGGUGGAGUCUAUUAAUCAUGUCCUAUUCGAAUGUGAUGCUGCUAGAAGGGUGUGGGCCAAUAGUGAGUAUGGUGACACAAUUGCUGCAUUCCCGUCUGGUUCUUUCACCUUAAAACUCCUUUGGUUUGCAAGCAAAUUGGAUGUAAAGGAAGUUAGUAGCAUCAUGUGUUUGGCUUGGGCUAUUUGGUUCUGCCGCAACAAAUGUGUCUUUGAGCAAGCUGUACCUGAUCCUGUUUUCACAGCCUGUGAUUCAAGGAGAUGGUGGAUGACUACUGCCUCUAUGCUAAGCAGGUCUUCUCUACAACGUCAAGGCCAGCUGCUGGACUGAUUAAGAUUAAUGUUGAUGCUCACAUAAUGGAAGGGAGAUAUGCUAGUCUUGGUGUGGCUGUUCGUGAUGAGAAUGGUACUUUGGUGAUUGCUGCUGUGAAAAGGGUGAACUUUCCCUGGGAUGCGCUCACUGCCGAAGCUGCAGCAACCAGGUUUGGUUUACAAAUAGCUCGCAGAUUUGGAUACAGUAAGAUCUGGAUUGAAGGAGAUGCUAUUAAUGUUAUGAAGGCUGCUGAUUCACCUCAGGAGGGUCAAGCUCCAAUCUUUCUGAUAUAUGAUUGAUGAUAUAAGUCGUUAUCAAAUAGCUUUGAUCUGGAUUUGUUCUCAUGUUAAACGGGGCGGGAAUACAGUAGCUCACCUAAUUGCUAGGUGGGAUACAAGAGGAGAUGAAUUAAUUUGUAUGGAUUCGUUCCCCCAUAGUGUCUUAAUUUUGGUGGAUUAUGAUUUGCAAUAAUAAUCCUCGUUUGUUUUUUUUUAAAAAAAAAACCGUGUGCAUUAAAAUUAUGUGAAAAAUAAAACAAGACUAAUAUAAAGAAUAAUAACACUAUUUUUAUCUUCAAUCAAUUUUACCCUGAUAAAUUUACCCGAUCUUACAUAGCAAAAUAACCAGCGUGGAGUAACUUCGGUUGUUACUCAAAUGAGUAACUUG